GCCGAAGUGGCGGAAUGGCAGACGCAGCGGAUUCAAAAUCCGCCGUCCUUACGGGCGUGAGGGUUCAAGUCCCUCCUUCGGCA
rnacentral:tRNA from 1 species